rnacentral:rRNA from 1 species
UACAGAGGGUGCGAGCGUUAAUCGGAAUUACUGGGCGUAAAGCGCGCGUAGGCGGCUUUGCAAGUCGGAUGUGAAAUCCCCAGGCUUAACCUGGGAACUGCAUUCGAGACUGCAUUGCUAGAGUAUGGGAGAGGGAAGUGGAAUUCCAGGUGUAGCGGUGAAAUGCGUAGAUAUCUGAAGGAACAUCAGUGGCGAAAGCGACUUCCUGGACCAAUACUGACGCUCAUGUGCGAAAGCGUGGGGAGCAAACAGG